rnacentral:tRNA from 4 species
GGCUCGGUAGCUCAGUUGGUAGAGCAUUCGCCUGAAGAGCGAAGUGUCAGUGGUUCGAAUCCGCUUCGAGCCACCA